rnacentral:tRNA from 1 species
GCCCCGUUCGUCUAGUGGCCUAGGACGCCAGGUUCUCAACCUGGUAACACGGGUUCGAAUCCCGUACGGGGUACAA